rnacentral:rRNA from 1 species
UACGAAGGGGGCUAGCGUUGCUCGGAAUCACUGGGCGUAAAGGGUGCGUAGGCGGGUUUUUAAGUCAGGGGUGAAAUCCUGGAGCUCAACUCCAGAACUGCCUUUGAUACUGAAGAUCUUGAGUUCGGGAGAGGUGAGUGGAACUGCGAGUGUAGAGGUGAAAUUCGUAGAUAUUCGCAAGAACACCAGUGGCGAAGGCGGCUCACUGGCCCGAUACUGACGCUGAGGCACGAAAGCGUGGGGAGCAAAAGGG